ACCAGAUGAUGAGAUGGUUAGCUGAAAGGAUGAUCUACUGAUGAUGUGCUGUGUAUUGUUGAACCAAAUGCAGAAACCCAAAGUGAACAGUCAGUUGUAGAUACAGAGGAGACUGAUCAGCUGUGAGGAGUGUACAACUUGGCUUUGGUAUUCUGCUGAUUCUUCAACAUCCUUCAAACACCUACAUUCCACUUGUCUGAUGAGCUGAAGGGACGGAUCAACCUGAUAACUGGCAUUUCAGUUCACACCAAGGAAGCAAUAUUCAAGAUAUUUGUCAACUCAGACAGCUCUGUCCCUCGAUUAACUCAGACAAAUUUUGGUACGAACAAAACUCACUGACGGUUAUUGCUAUUUCUCAAAGGGCAUGUGACAAAGAAGAUAGCAGGACAGUAAAGGUCCAUAAUCAGAAUGUGUUCAUGGGCAAUCAAAGACUUGCAUUUCAACUCUAAAAAGAAAUCUGGGCCCAAUUUCAUGAAGCUGUUAAGCAGAAAAUACUGCUUGACAAAAUUCUUUGCUAAGCAAAAAGUGAGUCAGGCUCCAGCCACAACAUUGCUAAGUUAAUGUUAUUUUGACCGGUUACCUGUUUCUGUUAAACAACACUGUUCAGUGCGUAGCAAAUUGCUGUGCGUUCAAGCUUUCAAUGAAAUUGGGCCCAGAUUACACAAGUUGGAAAAAAACAUUUAUAUUUAAGGCACGUAAAAUGCUCUCUUUUUCUACUCAAUCAAAUAAACUAAGGUUUCACUUGGGAUUUGAAUUGAUUUGUUUUCACUGACUUAUUAAUACCUUCAAAUGACUCUUGGUGUCCGAUGUCUUCUGACUCUUCAGCAUUAUGAAAAGAAAGUUAUGAACUUAAAAACACUUUGCUGAAAUUCAAGUCUUUUUUGGAAAGUAACUCAUGAAUUAAGCCAAGUACAUUAAUUGGGUGUAUCUUUGCUCCAUGGACAGCAAGGGGGGGGGAGGGGUCAAGCAAAGUUUUUACAAGAAGUUUCAUGAGAUUUAAUAUCUGCUUAGGUCUGUUCAUUACAAUGUGUGAAAGUGUACAAUUUUUUGUUGUCAAAUGUUUCA